rnacentral:rRNA from 1 species
GGAACUGCCUGAUGGCGGGGGAUAACUACUGGAAACGGUAGCUAAUACCGCAUAACGUCGCAAGACCAAAGAGGGGACCUUCGGGCCUCUUGCCAUCGGAUGUGCCCAGAUGGGAUUAGCUAGUAGGUGGGGUAACGGCUCACCUAGGCGACGAUCCCUAGCUGGUCUGAGAGGAUGACCAGCCACACUGGAACUGAGACACGGUCCAG